ensembl:rRNA 5S_rRNA 5S ribosomal RNA
UCUACGGCCAUACCACCCUGAACGCGCCCGAUCUUGUCUGAUCUCGGAAGCUAAGCAGGGUCGGGCCUGGUUAGUACUUGGAUGGGAGAGAUAAUGUAAUCAAUGGGAGAGGAAAGGU